UGUACUUUCAUUAAAAAUAACCAAUGCUGUGUUUUUCCACCAGAAGCAAUGGUAGAUUUUGCUGAGGUUGUCCAACUUGGUGGGAAAGACAGAAUCACAACCUGAUAAUUAAAAAGGGAGCAAGGCAGAGGGGCAGUGUUCUGAAGCAAACGGACUGAGCCAACUGUUGCCAAAUUUGAUCACAAGUCACAUUCACCAUUGAGCCAAACUCCCAGACAGAUGCCAGAAGGUGUGUGGCCAUAGAGUGCUGUGUGUUCAUCCAGGGAAUGGUCAGAUUGCCUGUGUGAAACCCCUGUGUCCUAGGCCUCUGCUGAUCCCUAUUUUAAGGCAGUGGUGUCCUGGUUUUGUUCUCCUCUUGUCUGAGUGAGCUUAACCCUGUAGUGCCUGGUCUGUGGAGCACACAGGGACCCUGCAGGUGGGCCCUGGGAUGGUUACAGGCUUCAUUAGCCACUGGAAGGGAUAUGACGAUAUGCAGGAAAAGGACCGUGUGAACUCAGCAAGCCACAAGUGAAGCCUCUGAGAGCACUCUGGUCUUGCUUAAAGGCUACAAAAUGUACAACUAUGAACAAAGUACAGUCUCUACUUGGACAGGCUGAGUAAGUGGAUAUUUAGACAUAAGAAUCUGGAGGGACUAACGGAGCUGCUGAGUGAUGGAGCAGCUUCUGGAGCAGACCAAGGCACAGGAGCUUUGCCCAGUCCCUACACAGGUCACUGUGCAGGACACCACUGGGGCAGGAGCACAUCCCUGGCCCUGGGCCUGUCUUCAUGGACCAAAUGGUAAAAUUCCAAGGAGCAGGAUGCAAACCCUGUGAACUUCUGAAGACAUUUUCUCACAGAGUGUCCUGGACCACAAAGAGUCACUUUGAACUUAAAAAAUUGAAGAAAAGUGGUUGAUGCAGCAAUUCAUCUCUCAUGUAGUCCAUGUAGCUUAUUUUCACUCCUUCUGGAUGUCC